rnacentral:lncRNA from 1 species
AGAGUCAACAAAAAACGAGGUUAGGGAUGAAUUCGGGGAGAUGGAUCUUGAAAAGACAGGUCAAAAUGAAGAAACGGAGUUGCCACACUCAAGCUUCACCGCUUCUAGCAAAAACUGACCAGCUUUCUUGAAUGUAUUAUCAUUCAAAAUUAAGUGGUGACGGACUUAAGUGAUGAGGUUAUUGCCUCAAUGAGAUUUGACAAGGAUCAUCUUUCCUUUUCAUUCCCUCUUCUAUUUUUCGGGUUUUGACUUUUAUCCUAUAGAAUUCGCCUUCCUUACUCUCCUCAGUACAUCAGCUGUGAGACAACUCAAGUGUUGCCUUAUUUGUGAAAGGCCUUCACUGGUUCAUAAGUCAUGUUCACCUCAAAAUGGUCACUACAUUAUAUGGUUAUUCAAAAUGUACCUUUUCAAAAUUGGCACAUGUGGGAGGUCGUUACAGUCUCUCCCUCCUUAAACACUCAACCCCCACUACUAUCAUUGAUAAUUAACUCACAAUCCACA